GAUGAACGCUGGCGGCGUGCCUAAUACAUGCAAGUCGAGCGAACAGACGAGGAGCUUGCUCCUCUGACGUUAGCGGCGGACGGGUGAGUAACACGUGGAUAACCUACCUAUAAGACUGGGAUAACUUCGGGAAACCGGAUCUAAUACCGGAUAAUAUAUUGAACCGCAUGGUUCAAUAGUGAAAGACGGUUUUGCUGUUACUUAUAGAUGGAUCCGCGCCGCAUUAGCUAGUUGGGAAGGUAACGGCUUACCAAGGCAACGAUGCGUAGCCGACCUGAGAGGGUGAUCGGCCACACUGGAACUGAGACACGGUCCAGACUCCUACGGGAGGAAGCAGUAGGGAAUCUUCCGCAAUGGGCGAAAGCCUGACGGAGCAACGCCGCGUGAGUGAUGAAGGCCUUCGGAUCGUAAAACUCUGUUAUUAGGGAAGAACAAAUGUGUAAGUAACUAUGCACGUCUUGACGGUACCUAAUCAGAAAGCCACGGCUAACUACGUG
rnacentral:rRNA from 1 species